rnacentral:rRNA from 1 species
GACGAACGCUGGCGGCGUGCUUAACACAUGCAAGUCGAACGGAAAGGCCCUGCUUUUGUUGGGUGCUCGAGUGGCGAACGGGUGAGUAACACGUGAGUAACCUGCCCUUGACUUUGGGAUAACUUCAGGAAACUGGGGCUAAUACCGGAUAGGAGCUCCUGCUGCAUGGUGUGGGUUGGAAAGUUUCGGCGGUUGGGGAUGGACUCGCGGCUUAUCAGCUUGUUGGUGGGGUAGUGGCUUACCAAGGCUUUGACGGGUAGCCGGCCUGAGAGGGUGAACGGCCACAUGGGGACUGAGAUACGGCCCAGAAUCCUACGGGAGGCAGCAGUGGGGAAUAUUGCACAAUGGGCGGAAGCCUGAUGCAGCAACGCCGCGUGCGGGAUGACGGCCUUCGGGUUGUAAACCGCUUUCGAAUGUGACGAAGCGUGAGUGACGGUAAUGGGUAAAGAAGCAACGGCUAACUACGUG